GGGAAGGGGGAGUUGGUAGAUUUCCAAUUCUCUUUGCCGUGCUAUUUAGAAGCCUGUUUCUAUUCUGCUUGUUACUUUCUAGUUUCUUUCCUUUCUAGAUCUCCACGGGUGUUAUUUCUUUUCAGUAUAUAAUCAUAACAUUAUCUUCAUUUUUUUCUUGUUUUCAUGUAAUUGAUCAAUAAAGACCAGUACGUGCCUUUCUUGAAAGUUCCUUGCCGAUAUGCUAAUCGAUGUUUUAGUUAAUCCAUGUUCAUAACUUCCACCAUUUUAUUAACCAUUCAUUUAUUGUAGGGGUUUCAUUUCCUCUCCAGAGUUGUGUAUACAGUACACUAUUCUGGCUGCUGUAAUUGCUUGGGUGGGCAAUUUUUCUAUGUAACCUAAAGUGCAGUGAUUAUUUCCAUUAUAUAUCCCCUUCUUCCAUAAUGUCAGGAGGUCUACAUGUUUCCUAACAUGUAGCUAUAUCUAAAAGUUUCAGUAGUCUUUAAAAGAGAUUAAAUCGACUCCAACAUUCUAACUAUACUAGGAGCCCGCAGUGGCACAACAGGUUAAACCCUUGUGCCGGCAGGACUGCUGACCGAAAGGUUGGCGGUUCGAAUUUGGGGAGUAGGGUGAGCUCCCAUCUGUCAGACACAGCUUCUUAUGCGAGGACAUGAGAGAAGCCUCCCACAGGACAAUAAAACAUCUGGGCAUCCCCUGGGCAAUGUCCUUGUAGAUGGCCGAUUCUCUCACAUCAGAAGUGACUUGCAGCUUCUCAAGUUGCUCCUGACAUUAAAAAAAAUCCAACUUGGGAGUUUCAUCUUUUGACACUAUCAUUUCUUUUUGGAUUGUCUCAUCCUAGUGUUUUUGUGUUAAAAUAUCUUCAAAAGGAGAUUUACCGUGUCUCCCUCUGUGUAACACUAACAAGUGUUAGCUAUGCUGUCACUGCCCUGAUUUUAAAACGUAAAAUAAAUUGUGCUUCCAAAGGGAGCUAUAUCUAAAAGUUUAAGAAGUCUUUAAAACUCAUUAAAUUCAAUCCAACAUUGAAACCACUAUGCUGCCCUUAUUUUAAAAAGUAAAUUAAUUAAUAAAAUGAACAGGAUACAGUAUGGACCACUCUUCCAUGGCUGAGGGGAGCAUACAUUAUUUAUUCACAGUCCAAAGUAUUCCUCAGAAAUAGAGCAAAAAUUCUAUAUAUUCUGCAGUACAAUCCUACUCCUGGAGCUAUUUAUGGUGGUGACUGGAAAAACUGCACUGAAUAGACAUGAUUAGAUAUGAUUAUCAUGGCUUUUUAUGGGCUAACAGAAGAAGAGUGGGUUAUAAACACAUGUUGUUUCUGAAAAUUGAUGGUAAUAAUCCCAACAAAAGGUGAUUUUUGUCCUGAUGGGAUUGUUCUUUAUUGGUGUGAUAAAAGUCCACAAAAUGUGAAAUUCUACAAUUUAAUACUAAAAUUUAAUUGUUUUUAAAUAUUGGUAUUCAUAUGUAUAUGAAACGUUUUUCUAUUCUAUUGUGUUGGAUUGUGUUAUGUUAGCUGCAUUGAGUCUCUACGUGAAGAAAGGAGGGGUAAAAAAAAGUUGAGUAAGAACAACACCAAGAAAACUUGAGAUCCUAACCAGCCAUUUAUUUGAGUUAUUAUAUUUAUUUAUAUCCUACUAUCCAAUUUUUUAAAAGUCUCAAAAAUAUUCCCAAAAGGAAUUCCAUAAUAUGUUAUCACCACAGGAGCUUUCAAAUACUGUAAUAUAAAAUAUAAGUAAGCCACCUACAGAUUCACCAAUGUGCCAGCAUCACAACAGACUCCUCCUGAAGUCAUAAUACAACCAUAUUUGUAUAAACACUGUUUCUGGGCCCACAAUGACUUCCUGCUGGGAUGUUGGACAGACAAGAAAUGUUUCACUUCAGUCUCAGUUGGGCCUUAUAAUGUUCACUUGCAGGAAAUCCAUGAUCACGAUGAUUACUAUUAUUGAUCAUAACCUUCAAUGGAAAAAGAAGAAAAAGAAAAUCAGAAAUGUGUCUACUAGAAUCUAGGGAUGAAUGGGAAUCAUUGUAUUUUGAGGAUAAUCUGAAGAAGACUCAAAAAUAUUCCCAAAAGGGAUUCAGUAAUAUUUUAUCAGCACAGAAGCUUUCAAAUACUGUAAUAUGAAAUACAAGUAAGCUACCUACAAAUUCACCAAUGUGCCAGCAUCACAACUGACUCCUUCUGAAGUCAUAAUACAGCCAAAUAUGUAUAAAAUACCUCUGUUUUGAUCCACAAUGACUUCCUGCUGGGAUGUUGGACAGACAAGAAAUGUUUCACUUCAGUCUCAACUGUGGCAUGUAAUUUCCUAUUUUCAGACAAUUUAGGAGCAUCAAAGAAAGAGAUUCAUACAAAGAUGAUAUCAGAUUGGAGAAUCAUAUCAUUGUCAACUGAAGUAAAUAAUAAUUAAUAUUUACCAUAACCUUCAACUGUAAAAGAAGAAAAAGAAAUUCAGAAAUAUGUUUCCUGGAAUCUAGGGAUGGAUGAGAAUUUCCCUUCUAUUUUGAGGAAAAAUCUGAAACAAAACUGGAAGUGAUUUACCCACUUAGCCCUUCCCUUUGCCCACUUGCUACCAUCCAGGUCUAGAAGGUUAAGGCACUGGAGGAAGAGGAAGGAAGGAAGGAAGGAAGG